rnacentral:rRNA from 1 species
GACGAACGCUGGCGGCGUGCUUAACACAUGCAAGUCGAACGGAAAGGCCCUGCUUUUGUGGGGUGCUCGAUUGGCGAACGGGUGUGUAACACGCGAGUAACCUGCCCUUGACUUUGGGAUAACUUCAGGAAACUGGGGCUCAUAUCGGAUAGGAGCUCCUGCUGCAUGGUGGGGGUUGGUAAGUUUCGGCGGUUGGGGCUGGACUCGCGGCUUAUCAGCUUGUUGGUGGGGUAGUGGCUUACCAAGGUUUUGACGGGUAGCCGGCCUGAGAGGGUGACCGGCCACAUUGGGACUGAGGUACGGCGCAGACUACUACGGGAGGCAGCAGUGGGGAGUAUUGCACAAUGGGCGGAAGCCUGAUGCGGCAACGCCGCGUGCGGGAUGACGGGCUUCGGGUUGUAAACCGCUUUCGCCUGAGACGAAGCGUGAGUGACGGUAAUGGGUAAAGAAGCACCGGCUAACUACGUG